rnacentral:rRNA from 1 species
UACGAAAGGUGCUAGCGUUGUUCGGAAUUACUGGGCGUAAAGCGCACGUAGGCGGCCUUGUAAGUUGGGGGUGAAAUCCCGGAGCUCAACUCCGGAACUGCCUUCAAGACUGCAAAGCUCGAGGACGCGAGAGGUUAGCUGAAUUCCGAGUGUAGAGGUGAAAUUCGUAGAUAUUCGGAAGAACACCAGUGGCGAAGGCGGCUAACUGGCGCGUUUCUGACGCUGAGGUGCGAAAUCGUGGGGAGCAAACAGG